CUGUCUAGUUAGAAACGUAAACAAACACGGACAACCGCCCGUAAAGAUUGUGUGCAGAAUAAUCGUGAAAUUUUAUGUGAAAACUCGAGAAAAGGAAAAACAUCAUUUCAUCCCGAAAUUUGGCAACAUUCGUCCGAGUAUGGUUGAGCAGCUGUGUGUGUGUGUAUGCCGACGGAAUACGACGCCGUUUCUACAUCAAUCACUAAAGCCGGCUGUGAUCGUGAUCGGCACAUUCUCAACUGGACCAACACACCGGUCGUUGUGUAUCUUCAAGCAAACCAACGUUGCCAUACACCACAAAAUAGCAUGGAAAGGAAAGUAUUAUAAAAUAAUAUCACAUAUGAAAGCAUUCUAAUUUUUCCUUGUUAUUUUUCCACUGCAAACAGGACAUUGGAUCACCGCAUCGACAAGUGGUUUUUAUGUGCAAGUGUUGUUAAGAAGUGUGUUGUACGGUGUAUUACGUGUUUUACUUUAUUUGUAUCGCUUUGCAAGUGGUACAAUUAGUGCGUUUAAUCGUUGUAAUACAGCUAACAUAAGAUUUACCCGAGCAUUAGAAGCGGCAACAAUACAUGUGCCUGACGCAGAGACAACAACGCCGUCGGCAUCCGUUGAUACCAUCCAAAGUGAUGGUUGAAAUCGUAUUUAAACGUGUAAAACCAUGUAUUGGGGCAUGUAAGUAUUGAAUAAUAGUUAAAUAAAAUACAUUUUAUCGUUGUACUGGACAAUGUGCAUCGAAAUU